rnacentral:rRNA from 1 species
CCUACGGGUGGCAGCAGUGAGGAAUAUUGGUCAAUGGACGAGAGUCUGAACCAGCCAAGUAGCGUGAAGGAUGACUGCCCUAUGGGUUGUAAACUUCUUUUAUAUGGGAAUAAAAUGUUCCACGUGUGGGAUUUUGUAUGUACCAUAUGAAUAAGGAUCGGCUAACUCCGUUCCAGCAGCCGCGGUAAUACGGAGGAUCCGAGCGUUAUCCGGAUUUAUUGGGUUUAAAGGGAGCGUAGGUGGAUUGUUAAGUCAGUUGUGAAAGUUUGCGGCUCAACCGUAAAAUUGCAGUUGAAAAUGGCAGUCUUGAGUACAGUAGAGGUGGGCGGAAUUCGUGGUGUAGCGGUGAAAUGCUUAGAUAUCACGAAGAACUCCGAUUGCGAAGGCAGUUCACUGGACUGCAACUGACACUGAGGCUCGAAAGUGUGGGUAUCAAACAGGAUUAGAUACCCGUGUAGUC